rnacentral:rRNA from 1 species
UACGGAGGGUGCAAGCGUUAUCCGGAUUUACUGGGUUUAAAGGGUGCGUAGGUGGGUCUGUAAGUCAGUGGUGAAAUCUCCGAGCUUAACUCGGAAACUGCCAUUGAUACUAUAGAUCUUGAAUUAUCUGGAGGUGAGCGAAUAUGUCAUGUAGCGGUGAAAUGCUUAGAUAUGACAUAGAACACCAAUUGCGAAGGCAGCUCACUACGGAUUGAUUGACACUGAGGCACGAAAGCGUGGGGAGUCAAACAGGA